rnacentral:rRNA from 1 species
CUUCCGGAGCUAACGCGUUAAGUAGACCGCCUGGGGAGUACGGCCGCAAGGUUAAAACUCAAAUGAAUUGACGGGGGCCCGCACAAGCGGUGGAGCAUGUGGUUUAAUUCGAUGCAACGCGAAGAACCUUACCUGGUCUUGACAUCCACAGAACUUUCCAGAGAUGGAUUGGUGCCUUCGGGAACUGUGAGACAGGUGCUGCAUGGCUGUCGUCAGCUCGUGUUGUGAAAUGUUGGGUUAAGUCCCGCAACGAGCGCAACCCUUAUCCUUUGUUGCCAGCGAUUAGGUCGGGAACUCAAAGGAGACUGCCAGUGAUAAACUGGAGGAAGGUGGGGAUGACGUCAAGUCAUCAUGGCCCUUACGACCAGGGCUACACACGUGCUACAAUGGCGCAUACAAAGAGAAGCGACCUCGCGAGAGCAAGCGGACCUCAUAAA